UCUAACACGACUCUCGCAACGGAUAUCUCAAGGCCGCAUUGAUGAAGAACGAAGCGAAAUGCGAUACUUGGUGUGAAUUGCAGAAUCCCGUGAACCAUCGAAAGUCUUUGAAUGCAAGUUGCGCCCCAAGCCUUCUGGCCGAGGGCACGUGCAUGGGUGUCACAAAUCGUCGUCCCCCAUCCUCUUGAGGAUAUCGGACGGAAGCUGGUCUCCUGUGUGUUACCGCACGCGGUUGGCCAAAAUCCGAGCUAAAGGAUGCCAGGAGCGCCUUGACACGCGGUGGUGAAUUCAAUUCUCGCCAAAUCGUCGGUCGUUUCGGUCCAAAAGCUCUUGAUGACCCAAAGUCCUCAACGCGACCCCAGGUCAGGGCGGGAUCACUCGCUGAGUUUAAGCAUAUCAAUAAGCCGGAGGAAAAGAAACUAACAAGAAUUCCCUUAGUAACGGCGAGCGAACUGGGAAGAGCCCAGCUUGAAAAUCGGACGAUUCGGCGUUUGAAUUGUAGUCCGGAGAAGAGUCCUCAGCAACGGACCGGCCCAAGUUCCCCGGAAAGGGGCCAGAGAGGGUGAGCCCCCCGUGCACUGGACCCUGUCGCACCACGAGGCGCUUGUCUACGAAGUCGGGUUGUUUGGGAAUGCAGCCCCAAUCGGGCGGUAAAUUCCGCCCAAGGCUAAAUAUGAGCGAGACCGACGAUAGCGAACAAGUACCGCGAGGUAAAGAUGAAAAGGACUUUGAAAAGAGAGUCAAAGAGUGCUUGAAACUGUCGGAGGGAAGCGGAUGGGGGCGGCGAUGCGCCCCGGUCGGAUGCGGAACGGAGCAAUACGGGUCCGGCCGAUCAAUUCGGGCGUGGACCGACGCGGACUAAGGUGGUGACCUAAGCCGGGCUUUCAUUACGCCCGCGAGACGCCGCUGCCUUAAUCGUGGUCUGAAGCACGCGUGCCUCGCGGCGCGUGCUCGCAUCUGCGUGUUAAGGGCGCCGCCUGUGGGCUCCCCAUUCGACCGUCUUGAAACACGGACCAAGGAGUCUUUACAUGUGCGAAGUCAACGGGUGAGUAAAACCGGUAAGGCGUAAGGAAGUUGAUUGGCUGGAUCCUCACGGGUGCACAGCCGACCGACCUUUGAUCUUCUGAGAAGGGUUCGAGUGAGCGUGCAUUCUGUCCGGACCGAAAGAUGGUGAACUAUGCCUGAGCGGGGAAGCCGAGGAAACUCUGGUGGAGGCCCGUGAGCGAUAUUGACGGUAAAUCGUCGCCUGACUUGGGUAUAGGGGUUAAAGACUAAUCGAACCAUCUAGUAGCUGGUUCCCUCGGGUUUCCCCGGGAUAGCUGGAGCUCGGAAACGAAUUCUAUCGGGUAAAGCCAAUGAUUAGAGGCAUCGAGGAUGCAACGUCCUCGACCUAAUCUCAAACUUUAAAUAGGUAGGACGGGGUGGCUGCUUUGUUGAGCCAUCCCACGGAUUCGAGAGCUCCAAGUGGGCCAUUUUUGGUAAGCAGAACUGGCGAUGCGGGAUGAACCGGAAGCCGGGUUACGGUGCCCAACUGCGCGCUAACCUAGAACCCACAAAGGGUGUUGAUCGAGUACCGCUCACGCCCGGUCGCACUCAUAACCGCAUCAGGUCUCCAAGGUGAACAGCCUCUGGUCGAUGGAACAAUGUAGGAAAGGGAAGUCGGCAAAAUGGAUCUGUAACUUCGGGAAAAGGAUUGGCUCUGAGGGCUGGGCUCGGGGGUCCCAGUUCCGUACCCGUCGACUGUUGGCGGGCUGCUUGAGCCGCAAACGUGGCGAGAGCGGACUGCCUCGUGUCGGCCGGGGGACGGACUGGGAACGGCCCUUUCGGGAGCUUUCCCCGGGCGUCGAACAGCCAACUCAGAACUGGUACGGACAAGGGAAAUCCGGCUGUUUAAUCAAAACAAAGCAUUGCAAUGGUCCUUGCGGAUGCUAACGCAAUGUGAUUUCUGCCCAGUGCUCAGAAUGUCAAAGUGAAGAAAUUCAACCAAGCGCGGAUAAACGGCGGGAGUAACUAUGACUCUCUUAAUGUAGCCAAAGGCCCGGCCAUCUAAUUAGUGACGCGAUGAUGAUUGGAUUAACGAGAUUCCCACUGUCCCUGUCUACUAUCCAUAAACCACAGCCAAGGGAACGGGCUUGGCAGAAUCAGCGGGGAAAGAAGACCCUGUUGAGCUUGACUCUAGUCCGACUUUGUGAAAUGACUUAAGAGGUGUAGAAUAAGUGGGAGCUCCGCGCAAGUGAAAUACCACUACUUUUAACGUUAUUUUACUUAAUUCGUGAAUCGGAGGUGGGGUAACAACCCUUCUUUAGACCCAAGACUCGCUUCAGCGGGUCGAUCCGGCGGAGGACAUUGUCGGUGGGGAGUUUGGCUGGGCGCACAUCUGUUAAAAGAUAACGCAGGUGUCCUAAUAUGAGCUCAACGAGAACAUAAAUCUCGUGUGGAACAAAAAGGGUAAAGCUCGUUUGAUUCUGAUUUUCAGUACGAAUCACGAACCGUGGAAAGCGUGGCCUAUCGAUCCUUUAAAUCUUCGGAAUUUGAAGUUAGAGGUGUCAGAAAAAGUUACCACAGGGAUAACUGGCUUGUGGCAGCCGUUGCGUUCAUAGCGACGUUGCUUUUGAUCCUUCGAUGUCAGCUCUUCCUAUCAUUGUGAAGCAGAAUUCACCAAGUGUUGGAUUGUUCACCCACCAAUAGGGAACGGAGCUGGGUUUAGACCGUUGUGAGACAGGUUAGUUUUUACCCUACUGAUGCCCGCGUUGCAAUAGUAAUUCAACCUAGUACGAGAGGAACCGUUGAUUCGCGACAAUUGGUCAUCGCGGCUUUGGUUGAAAAGCCAGUGGCGCCGGCUACCGCGGCGCUGGAUUAUGACUGAACGCCUCUAAGUCAGAAUCUGGGCUAGAAGCGACGCGAUGUGCUCACCGCCCGAUUGUCGACCCUCGGGGAGCCGGCGCCCCAAAGGCACGGUCGCUAUUAAGUCUGUUCGGCGGAAGCCGCUCGACCGCCUUUGAAUUAUAAUUACCACCGAAAGGCGGGUAGAAUCCUUUGCGAUCUAAUUUUAAAUACGCGACGGGUAUGGUGGCAGAGUGGCCUUGCUGCCACGAUCCACUGAGAUUCAGCCUUUUGUCGCUAAGAUUCGACCCUCCCCCUUUC
rnacentral:rRNA from 1 species